rnacentral:rRNA from 1 species
UACGUAGGGGGCAAGCGUUGUCCGGAUUUAUUGGGCGUAAAGAGCGUGUAGGCGGCCUGACAGGUCUGCUGUGAAAACUCGAGGCUCAACCUCGAGAUGUCGGCGGAAACCGUCUGGCUAGAGUCCGGAAGAGGAGAGUGGAAUUCCUGGUGUAGCGGUGAAAUGCGCAGAUAUCAGGAAGAACACCUAUGGCGAAGGCAGCUCUCUGGGACGGUACUGACGCUGAGACGCGAAAGCGUGGGGAGCAAACAGG